AUUGAACGCUGGCGGCAGGCCUAACACAUGCAAGUCGAACGAGUGGCGGACGUGUGAGUAAUGUCUGGGAACCUGCUCGCUGGAGUGGGAUAACUACUGGAAACGGUAGCUAAUACCGCCUACCAUCGGAUGUGCCCAGAUGGGAUUAGCUUGUAGGUGAGGUAACGGCUCACCUAGGCGACGAUCCCUAGCUGGUCUGAGAGGAUGACCGGCCACACUGGAACGGAGACACGGUCCAGAAGCCUAAGGGAGGCAGCAGUGGGGAAUAGUGCACAAUGGGCGCAAGCCUGAUGCAGCCAUGCCGCGUGUAUGAAGAAGGCGUUCGGGUUGUAAAGUACUUUCAGCGGGGAGGCGUUACCCGCAGAAGAAGCACCGGCUAACUCCGUGCCAGCAGCCGCGGUAAUAC
rnacentral:rRNA from 1 species